GGGCCAUAGCACAGUGGCAGAGUGUUUGCCUUGCAAAGCAGAAGGUCUCAGGUUCAAUCCCCAGCAUCUCCA